GUGCUAUCGCUCCAGCCCCCAUAUACUAAAAUUGGAAUGAUACAGAGAAGAUUAGCAUGGCCACU
rnacentral:snRNA from 1 species